CAGUGCGAGGAGAAUUACUGUAUGUGGUGUAAUUCAACCACAGAUAGGCUGUAAACAAAGCUGCGCCGCACGGCUGCGGGGACCCGGCCCAGGGCUGGGGCUCCUGCCCACCACCCCCCCAGUGCUGGGGGGCUCAGGUGAUGCAACCAGACCCCAAAGGUAACCAGCAGGACUCCUUUUCUUCUUACUUUUGAAGAGCCACACGCUUUCUUUUGUCUCCAAGAUCUGCCCCACCCCACGCAUUGCAAUUAAACAUAAAAAGGAGCAGCCUUUCUGUUCUAACUCAUUGUUCUUUUUCUGCAUCCAGGAACACUGGGCUUCUUUUUCUUUCUUCUGAAGGCUUCCCCUGUUAACUUUAUUUUUUAUAACAGAAUAAAGCAGCGUUUCUGGUGAGGAAGUUAAGAAGACAUAGGAAGGGGCAUCUGAAAGGGACUCAGCCAUGCUGACAAAUGGGGCAAAAUACAGGCAAGAAAGCUGGAACACCAAAAGGAAAGAAGACACACGACAUCACCUCAGAUAGCAGGAGUGCUGAAUUGAUUUUGCAAUACCGCAGUGCUAUAAUCACAGAAGAUAAGGUAACCAACUGGAAAACCACCACCUGAUAUUUUAAGAUCCCAUCCUAAGGGAGGAGGUUUGCCACAGCAUUUCCGUUCUCCACAAUUAAUUCAUGAACAGAGGGCUGACAAAUGGGGAAAGGAAAGCAGAGUAACUCCAGUGUUCACAGCAGCGAUUCGUCUCAUCUUCCACCAAAACUUGAAAUGUAAAACCCCCUUAGCUGCUCUGGCAGGUGAUCUUCACAGGUAAAUCUUCAUCCACAGCCUUUGAAUCACGGAUCUACAGGACAGCAGCCUGACUGUGCUGAUGGUUGCCAGCACAUGCUCUCUGGACUUUGCAGAAGCACAAAUGAUACAGACCAAUACAGCCGUGCAGGAGGGGACCUGACAGCUCAUCGCCCUCUGUAAGAGUUGGGGUACAUUUUGUGCAGCUGGAAGGCACUACAUGCAGGCAGUGAGCUGCAGCAAUUCAGGGAUUCAUAACAACACGAGAUAGGGAAAGAAAAGAGUGCUCCUGUGUUCCUGUACACUCCCAGUGAUGGCUGUGGUUGGAGCACCAACGCUUGGGACAAGCAGCAGAGGCGAGGGGUGUUUGACAGCCCCUGGGAUGGAAGCACAGCACUGCCAUGGAGGGCUGUCACCACCAGCAGAACUGCAGGCAGGGCAACGCCAUCACACUGACUGAGCCCAACUCUGCUUUGAAUUAAAGCAUCUAUUUUAAUACA